UUUCAUUCCAGAGGUCUCUCGUUGCUGAACGAAAAUUCGGGCUGGAACAUAAACAUUACCGCCUAUGGAAAAUGGAGCUCCAUGCUGGAAAGUGCACAAGGCCUCCAAAUCCAAAAUAUGACUAUGGAAGUUUUAUUGCCCAGACAUGUGAUUGUCUAGAACCAAUUGGAUGAUGCGUUAUAUAGAAUAUUCAUAUUGAGAGCUGCCAUGUCUUCUAAGAGAAACUCCAUUCUUUGAUGACUGAUGGAAAAGCCUCAUCACUUCCUUUGCUAAAGAACUUGUUAUCUUAAUCACUAGCCAUUAAUCAGUGACCACCGUUAUCAAAGCUCCCAGGUACAUUAUGGAAGUCUCUUCUGGCACCAUUUUUUUUUUUUGCAGUCCCUGACUUUGUCUUAGAAUUGAAAUUAUUAACUUUUGCUA